GGGCUGCAGUAUUUUGACUGUACAAAGGUAGCAUAAUCAUUAGUCUCUUAAUUGGUGACUUGUAUGAAAGAUUGGAUGAGAUAUAAACUGUCUCUAAUUAAUUUAUAGAAUUUAAUUUUUUAGUGAAAAAGCUAAAAUAAUUUUGAAAGACGAGAAGACCCUAUAGAGUUUUAUAAUUUAUUUAAUUAUUAUUAUUAUGUAAAUUUUAAUUUAAGAAUCAAAUAAAUUAUUUUAUUGGGGUGAUUGAAAAAUUUAAUAAACUUUUUUUAAAAAUAAACAUUAAUUUAUGAAUAAAGGAUCCAUUAUUAGUGAUUGAAAGAAUAAAUUACCUUAGGGAUAACAGCGUAAUUUUUUUUUUUAGUUCAAAUAGGAAAAAGAGUUUGCGACCUCGAUGUUGGAUUAA
rnacentral:rRNA from 1 species